GACGUAGGGGGCGAGCGUUGUCCGGAUUUAUUGGGCGUAAAGCGCGCGUAGGCGGCCCGUUAAGUCGGAUGUGAAAACCCGUGGCUCAACCACGGGCCUGCAUCCGAUACUGGCGGGCUCGAGGCAGGCAGGGGAGAUCGGAAUUCCUGGUGUAGCGGUGAAAUGCGCAGAUAUCAGGAGGAACACCGGUGGCGAAGGCGGCAUCCUGGACCAAUUCUGACGCUGAGUGAGCGAAAGCCAGGGGAGCAAACGGG
rnacentral:rRNA from 1 species